AGUGAACGCUGGCGGUAGGCCUAACACAUGCAAGUCGAACGGCAGCACAGUAAGAGCUUGCUCUUACGGGUGGCGAGUGGCGGACGGGUGAGGAAUACAUCGGAAUCUACUUUUUCGUGGGGGAUAACGUAGGGAAACUUACGCUAAUACCGCAUACGACCUACGGGUGAAAGCAGGGGAUCUUCGGACCUUGCGCGAUUGAAUGAGCCGAUGUCGGAUUAGCUAGUUGGCGGGGUAAAGGCCCACCAAGGCGACGAUCCGUAGCUGGUCUGAGAGGAUGAUCAGCAACACUGGAACUGGAACACGGUCCAGAUUCCUACGGGAGGCGGCAGUGGGGAAUAUUGGACAAGGGGCGCAAGCCUGAUCCAGCCAUACCGCGUGGGUGAAGAAGGCCUUCGGGUUGUAAAGCCCUUUUGUUGGGAAAGAAAAGCAGCAGGUUAAUACCCCGCUGUUCUGACGGUACCCAAAGAAUAAGCACCGGCUAACUUCGUG
rnacentral:rRNA from 1 species